rnacentral:rRNA from 1 species
UACAGAGGGUGCAAGCGUUAAUCGGAAUUACUGGGCGUAAAGCGUGCGUAGUCGGUUAUCUAAGUCGGGUGUGAAAUCCCCGGGCUCAACCUGGGAAUUGCAUUCGAUACUGGAUAGCUAGAGUUCGGCAGAGGAAGCGGAAUUCGGGUGUAGCGGUGAAAUGCGCAGAUAUCAGGAGGAACACCAGCGGCGAAGGCGGCGCCUCUGGGCCGGUACUGACGCUGAGGAGCGAAAGCGUGGGUAGCAAACAG